rnacentral:rRNA from 1 species
UGUUUGAUGUUCUAACGUUGGCCCCUGAUCGGGGUUGCGGACAGUGUCUGGUGGGUAGUUUGACUGGGGCGGUCUCCUCCUAAAGAGUAACGGAGGAGCACGAAGGUUGGCUAAUCCUGGUCGGACAUCAGGAGGUUAGUGCAAUGGCAUAAGCCAGCUUGACUGCGAGCGUGACGGCGCGAGCAGGUGCGAAAGCAGGUCAUAGUGAUCCGGUGGUUCUGAAUGGAAGGGCCAUCGCUCAACGGAUAAAAGGUACUCCGGGGAUAACAGGCUGAUACCGCCCAAGAGUUCAUAUCGACGGCGGUGUUUGGCACCUCGAUGUCGGCUCAUCACAUCCUGGGGCUGAAGUAGGUCCCAAGGGUAUGGCUGUUCGCCAUUUAAAGUGGUACGCGAGCUGGGUUUAGAACGUCGUGAGACAGUUCGGUCCCUAUCUGCCGUGGGCGCUGGAGAACUGAGGGGGGCUGCUCCUAGUACGAGAGGACCGGAGUGGACGCAUCACUGGUGUUCGG